UGUGGGAGGGAUGGGGGAAAGGCAGCGACCAGGAUUCAGGCUUGGAGAUGUGCCUCCAGGUGACAGCCACAUGUGAGAACCCAGCUAGCAAGCCUUGGGGAUGGAAGGCAGGGCUAGCUUAGAUAGGCAGAGGGCAAAUCUCAGCUGCUCCCGUCUGGGGCUACCUGAUGGGUGCUGGGUUUCCAUAAGGCCAGGCUAUGGGGGAAAUGGAGCUGUGAGGCCCACCUUGCUAGCUGGGGGCACGGUGGAAAGGGUUGCAAAUGUAUGAUUAGUUAAUGGAAACUUGGGUUUUUGCAGAGAGCAGCCUGGAAGGGUGGCAGCUGGUGCAUUGAGCAGAUGCCCCAGGAAAGCCCUAAACUCGUAGAAUCUGCAUGUUUUCCUCAGCCCUGUCUGGGAGGCCAGAGCAGGGCAGCCAUUGCAGGACUUUCCUGAGGCACUAGGACGCCAGGGAUGAUGAUUUGUUUGGAUUUGUCAGAAUAGCUCUGGGCUGCCAAAUCACACAGACAGCUGCCGCCAUGGCUGCCUUCAUGCUGUUCCAGCCAUGCCACGCAUUGUAUCAGCCGCCUCUGCCCCACCCCGAAUGCCUUGGGAAAUCAUCACAACUUCAUGGAGGAUCAGAGCCCAGACUCUGUUCCUGUUCUGCAACAUUUCUGCGUUGGCUCAACUGUCCCGUUAGCUGGCAGGUGAUAACCAACCGCAGCUUCAGCCUCUGCCUGCUGAAUCCACACAGGAGAACAAUGGACUAUGUGUGCCCUUGCUCCAUUCCUCCCACCAGAAGCUGCGGGAAUGGGAGUGAGGAAGAGAAAUCCAAUUAUGUUUGGUCUGGGAAUUUGGUGUGAUGGGAAUUCUGUGGGCAGCCUUACUUUCCAUGUGAAGAAUUCCUGUGGGCAAACACAAAGUACUUUUUAAAAAUCAGGUAUGUUUUUGGUGUUUCCAAAUAGGGCAGGGGUAAGACCUAGGAGCUUGCCUUUGGUGCCAUCUGAUUUUUGGGAAUAUUUAACCCACGAUGAUCCCAUUGCUAUUUAUAGUAGGCUUCAGACGUGGCACAGAGGGCAGCUUGGAAUUUAGGUUACAGGAAUAAGUUUUAUGAAGUUUCUGUUGUUCAACCAUUGGUUGUCUUAAAUUCAAUCAGAAUCUUGGCAUGGGGUAGAAACUUGGAAAGAAUCUCUGUCAGUCCUUUCAUUUUAUAGCUGAAGAUACUGAAGGGCACAGAGGUGAAUUACAUUUUUUUAAAAGAUUUAUUUAUUUGAGAGGCAGAGGCAGUGAGAGAAAGAGAGAGAGAGAGAGAGAGAGAGAGAGAGAGAGAGAGAAAGUCUUCCAUCUGCUAGUUCACUCCGCAGAUGGCCACAAUGGCCUGAGCCAUGCUGAUCCGAAGCCAGAAGCUUCUUCCGGGUCUCCCAUGUGAGUGCAAGGGCCAACUUCUUCCAGGUCUCCCACAUGGGUGCAGGGGCCCAAGGACUUGGGCCAUCUUCUGUUUUCCCAGGUCAAUAGCAGACAGCUGAAUCAGAAAUGGAGCAGCCGGGACUUGAACCAGCGCCCACAUGGGAUGCCGGCACUGCAGGUGGUGGCUUUUCCUGCUACACUACAGCACCAGCCCCGAUGAAUUACAUUCUUAAAGACUCAGGUUGGCAUCAGCAAUCUCCAGGUGUAUCAGGUGUCCAGAUGUACCAGGUGGAUGGUAACUCCAGGGCCCAGGACAGAACUGGGGGCGUUGGCAGCAGCUCUUCUGGAAGUUCAUGAAAACUGAAGUGUCCUUGGGACUUUCUGAUUCACAGCUGAGUUAAACUUUGAACAACUAAGAAGAAACACUAAAAAGGACUAGAAAUACUGACUGCAACCAAGGAGGCUUCGAGUAAUAUGUUCAAGUGUGGAGGAGGACAAGCAGCUAAAGCCAGGAUGACUUCACUGAGCCCCAACAAUGUGAUGAAAAUGAGAAAUGUUGCAGCCAGAGAAGUGUUUGGCUAUCAUGAUAAGCUUCAUGUUGUGCAGGCUGGAAAACUCGGCAAACCUGAAGGGAGAAAAUUCUGAAGUCUCUUUUUUACCCUAAAUCUUGAAAAAAUUGGGACUAUUCUCCACCCCAUAGGCAGAUAUGUCAAUAAGAAAUUGACUCUUUACACCUCUUUUGUUUGUUAUCCUCUCUCUUUUUUUUUUAAAAAAAAUCUAUUUUUAUUUAUUCAAAAGACAGUUACAGAGCGAGGUAGAGACAGGGAGAGGUCUUUACAUCCGCUGAUUCACUCCUCAAAUGGUCACCAUGGCCGGAGCUGAGCCAGUCCAAAGCCAGGAGCCAGGAGCUUCUUCCAGGUCUCCCACGUGGGUACAGGGGCCCAAGGACUUAGGGCAUCUUCUGCUGCUUUCCCAGGCCAUAGCAGAGAGCUGGAUUGGAAGUGGAGCAGCUGGAACUAGAACCAGUGCCCAUAUGGUUCUUGCAGUGCCGGCUUUAACCCGCUGUGCCACAGCACUGGCCCUGCUAUCAUCUCUUAAAGCAGGAGGAUGAGAAAAAAACAAAAACAAAAACAAACCAGAAAAUUGCAGUGAAAAAAUACUUUUUUUCCCCUCUCUCCUCCCUUAUUUUGGACUGAGUUGUUAGGAAAGUCUUGUAUCUUUGUAUUUCAGGGAGCUUUUUCCCAGCAGACUUUGACAUUUCUCCUCUCUUGCAAUUCCCCUUCUUGUUCUCCCAGUAUUCAAGAGGUGUGCACUAGGGACCGGUGCUGUGGCACAGCAGGUGGAACUGCCAUUUGCAGUGCCAGCAUCCCUCAUGGGUUCCAGCUUCUGCCUUCUGAUCCAGCUCCAUGACAAUGUG